rnacentral:rRNA from 1 species
GCCAUGCUAGUUGUACGUCUAACGUAGCGAAAAGCUCCGUAACACGUGGCCAAACUACCCUGUGGAGAGCCAUAAUCCCGGGAAACUGAGGCUAAUAGCUCAUACGACACUCAUGCUGGAAUGCAGAGUGGCAGAAACGCUCCGGCGCCACAGGAUGUGGCUGCGGCCGAUUAGGUAGACGGUGGGGUAACGGCCCACCGUGCCGAUAAUCGGUACGGGUUGUGAGAGCAAGAGCCCGGAGACGGAAUCUGAGACAAGAUUCCGGGCCCUACGGGGCGCAGCAGGCGCGAAACCUUUACACUGCACGCCAGUGCGAUAAGGGGACCCCGAGUGCGAGGGCAUACUAGCCCUCGCUUUUCACAACCGUAGGGAGGUUGUGGAACAAGAGCUGGGCAAGACCGGUGCCAGCCGCCGCGGUAAUACCGGCAGCUCGAGUGAUGACCGCUGUUAUUGGGCCUAAAGCGUCCGUAGCUGGCCACGCAAGUCCGUCGGGAAAUCCACUGGCUCAACCAGUGGGCGUCCGGCGGAAACUGCGUGGCUUGGGACCGGAAGGCUCGAGGGGUACGUCCGGGGUAGGAGUGAAAUCCCGUAAUCCUGGACGGACCACCGAUGGCGAAAGCACCUCGAGAAGACGGAUCCGACAGUGAGGGACGAAAGCUGGGGUCUCGAACCGGAUUAGAUACCCGGGUAGUCCCAGCCGUAAACGAUGCCAGUUAGGUGUGGCAGAGGCUACGAGCCUCUGCUGUGCCGUAUGGAAGCCGAGAAACUGGCCGCCUGGGAAGUACGUCCGCAAGGAUGAAACUUAAAGGAAUUGGCGGGGGAGCACUACAACCGGAGGAGCCUGCGGUUUAAUUGGAUUCAACGCCGGGA